rfam:Schistosoma mansoni strain Puerto Rico chromosome W, complete genome
AUCCGGCUGAUGGGUCCCAAACAGGACGAAAUGAGCGUCCUGGAU